rnacentral:rRNA from 1 species
CAACCUAAGGGACGGGCGCCUAGUUGUAGUGGUGGCGUAGACGAAGAGACGGAGGGAGAAAUGGGCUGCGGUUAGAGGAGGAGCUUAGGAGGUAGGGAGAGGGGCGGCUAGUCGGGCGAGCGGCCCGGAGGAGGCGGCGUUGGAGCGGCGUCCGUUGGGGGGUGCCGAAGGGAGGCCGGUGGGUGGUAGUGUGGGGGCGCAGAGGUAGGUCAUGCGCGGGCCCGUUGCCGAGAAGGGUCGCCGCGUUGGCCGUGGCCGUGGCGGCUAGAGCCCAAAGCAGUUGUAACUAUUGACUAUUCAUAUUACAUCUCUUCAUAACCUCCUCAGUACGGUAGAUCGCUGUUCGUUAAUCGUAAGAGCCACUUUUGUCGUCGUAGCGCACUCGACGAUUUGUUUCCAUGUUUGUAGUAUUUAUACAGAGUUCCGUGAAGAGACGGCGGUUUCCUAUUUCCACGACGACUUCUUGGAAAUUUCCGACACCCGUGUUUUGCCGACGUAUGACUACGAGGAAGUUCGGGACAAAUAGUAUUACAAAUACACGCCGCUUUCCACCUUUGACUUGUAUUAUUUCACUUGAGCAGAGACCUCUACUUCCAAUAACCGUUCCUGUUUUGUUUCGUCGUCCUCCUUGUCGCUUUACACCUUUGACUUGUAUCGUUUCACUCAACGAGAGUUCUCAACUUCCCAUCAGCUUCACUCUAUUGUUUUCUCGUCCCCUAUGUCUCUUACCUUUGCCUUGUAUCAUUUCACUUGGGAAGAGUCCUCAACUUCCCAUCACCUUCGCUCUUUUGUUUCCUCGUCCUCCUUGCCUUUCACUUUUGACUUGUAUCAUUUCACUUGGGAAGAGUUCUCUACUUCCCAUCACCUUCACUCUUUUGUUUUCCCGUCCUUUAUGUCUUUUACCUUUGACUUGUAUCAUCUCACUUGGGAAGCGUUCUCAACUUCCCAUCACCUUCGUUCUUUUGUCUCCUCGUCCUCCUUGUCUUUCACUUUUGACUUGUAUCAUUUCACUCGAGAAGAUUUCUCAACUUCCCAUUACAUCCUCUUUUUUAUCUUCUCGUUCUCCUAGUCGUUGACCACGUUACACUAGUUCAGUCAUUCGGUCUUCACCGUGGAGGAUAACGACUUAGACCUUAUUUUCUCGUCCUACUUGUCGUUUGCCACGUUCACUUAUUCGGUCUUCACCGUGGAGGAUAACGACUUAGACCUUAUUUUCUCGUCCUACUUGUCGUUUGCCACGUUCACUUAUUCAGUCUUCACCGUGGAGAAUAAAGACUUAGACCUUAUUUUCUCGUCCUACUUGUCUUCUGCCANNNNNNNNNNNNNNNNNNNCACCGUGGAGGAUAAAGACUUAGACCUUAAUUUCUCGUCCUACUUGUCCUUUGCCACGUUGUACUAGUCCACUUAUUCGGUCUUAACCGUGGAGGAUAACGACUUAGACCCUGUUUUCCCGACCUACUCGUCGUUUGCCACGUUGUACUAGUCCAGUUCUUCAGUCUUUACCGUGUAUAAGGACUUGGACCUUAUUUUCCAGUCCUACUUGUCGUUUACCACGUUGUACUAGUCCAGCUAUUCGGUCUUUACCGUGGAGGAUAACGACUUUGGCCUUAUUUUCUCGUCCUCCUUGUCGUUUGACAUGUUGUACCAGUCUAGUUAUUCGGUCUUCACCGUGGAGGAUAGAGACUUGGAACGUAUCUUCUCGUCCUCUUUGCCGUUUACCAUGUUGGUCUAGUUCAGUUAUUCGGUCUUCACCGUGGAGGACAACGACUUGGAUCCUAUUGUCUCGUCCUCCUUGACGUUUACCAUGUUGUACUAGUCCAGUUAUUCGGUCUUCACCGUGGAGGACAACGACUUGGAUACUAUUGUCUUGUCCUCCUUGGCGUUUACCAUGUUGUACUAGUCCAGUUAUUCGGUCUUCACCGUGGAUGAUAACGACUUAGACGUCCAGAUCAGAGUAGACUUUACUGACUUAGACCUCCCGAUCUCGGUAGAUUUAGAGGGCUUCUUUGUGUACGUCUUUGACAUGGUUUCUAUUUACUCGACGGCUAACGAAGACGAUUGCUCGGUGGAUAGCGAGGAUCAUGGUGGCAAGUUCCACUAUAGGCAUCUAGUCCGUUGGUUUUAGGAAUGACCUCACUCUCUAUACUAGCUAAUGUCUGUAUAAACCUCUUGACACUAGCCAGUGGGGUCCUCCCAAUAUACGCUUACGAAUCCAGUGAGAGUCGUCGGCCAGCUUCGUACGUACGCUAACUCGACCUCUUUUCCCGUUAUGUGGAGGAUCACCUCCUUCCAUUUCUCGACGUUGCCUACUUCCGAAACUUACAAAACCCCUUUCAAAGAGGUUUGCCAGGAAGCUUCGUCCUAGGGAACGUCGCCAGCACGGUCUUCACUCUACCAACUUCUAUAGAGACAUCUCGGUUUUUAUAUACGUAGUACAUAUGUAACGUCUUUCCUGUACAAGACGAAUCUUGAAAAGAAAAGCAAAAAAAAAAGGAAAAGGAAAGCAAAAAUGGAUAUGAGCCACGACACGGCACCCAUACAACAAUAUACCACAUUAAUUUUCUCGUUGAACAAACCUAUUUGGACAGUCCGAAUUACCGGUUCGGAUCAUUGACAAAUAUGGGUACGCACGGUAGACUAAAUAAAAAGGAGAAAC